AAACAUAUUGAGUACAACUUCACCACUAUGACAAGUGCGCCUUAUGGUGACCACUGGCGAAACCUGCGCCGUAUCGGUACCCUCGAGAUAUUUUCUUCACACAAGCUCAAUGGCUUUUUAUCUAUCCGUAAGGAUGAGAUCCGACACUUGUUAUUGCUCCUAUCAAAAAACUCGCAACAUGUAUGUAAGCUUCUUCUACAUAUCAAAAAAAAAUUUAUAUAGCAAGAGAAUCUUAUAAGUCAUAGUUAACCUAUAUCGAUUUGUGCUAGUAACGUCACUGUAUUAUUAUCUAGGUUUAAACUUGGCCAUGUGCAUGUGCUAGAGAUGUAGACGCCAAAACAAAUAUAACAUAGGAACUCUACUAAAAUAUCUUAAUAAUCUCAGAGAAAAAAUGUAUAUACAUAUUCUAUACCAAGUAAAGAUUGGGAAGUAUAAAUAUGAAAAUUUGAGAACUAAUCUAUUUGUUUAAGUGAUUAUAAAAUCAGGGGUUUGCGAAGGUGGAGAUGAGACAAUUGUUUUAUGAUUUGACUAUCAACAACAUUCUUCGAAUGAUAGCCGGGAAACGAUAUUAUGGAGAGGGAACAGAGCAAGAUGACGUUGCGCGGCGAGUGAGCCAGUUGAUUGACGAGAUUGUGUACAGGGCUGGCGCUGGGAAUGCAGCCGAUUAUUUACCGAUUUUGCGUUGGAUUACAGAUUUUGAGAAAGGGGUCAAGGAGUUAGCGAGUCGAGUUGAUGAGUUUUUGCAGAGUCUGGUCGAUGAGAAACGUGUGGAUAAAGAAAAGGGUAACACUAUGAUGGAUCACUUACUUUUCCUCCAAGAGACUCAGCCUGAUUACUAUACAGAUGUCACUCUUAAAGGAAUCAUAAUUGUAAGUUUGAGGAAUUCAUAUACAAAAUGUAACAACACUAAUCAAACUUUAUGAUAGCUGAUUAUUGAUUUUAAUUUUACAGGUUAUGAUACUUGCCGGGACUGAAACAUUAGCAGGAACUUUAGAAUGGGCGAUGCUGAAUUUGUUGAACCAUCCAGAAGUACUAGAGAAAGCGAGGACCGAAAUCGAUACCAAAAUCGGUUUUGACCGGUUAAUAGAUGAAGCCGAUACUAAAAAUCUCCCUUAUCUCCAAUGGAUAGUGUUGGAGACCCUACGUCUUCAUCCAGCAGCUCCAACAAAUGUUCCACAUAUGACGUCAGAUGAUUGUAUGUUGGCAGGAUACGACGUUCCACGUGGUUCGAUGUUAUUGGUGAACAUAUGGGCCAUGCAUAGAGACCCGUCAGUAUGGGAAGACCCCGAAAUGUUCAAGCCAGAGAGGUUCGAAAAUCAAAAGCUUAAUCAAAAGUUGUUGUCGUUUGGGAUUGGACGAAGAGCUUGUCCUGGGGUUGGCCUAGCUCAUCGGUUACUGAGCUUGGCUCUUGGAUCGAUGGUUCAGUGUUUUGAAUGGCAGAGAAUUGGAGAAGAAUAUGUUGACACGAGAGAAGAACUUAUGGCCAUGAUGCGUCCUGCGACACCAUUGCUAGCCAUGUGUAAAGCUCGUCCCAUUGUCCAUAAGAUUCUUAAUGCUUUUGCUUGAAGUGUAACUAAAAAAAUAUGUACUAAAAAAAUUAUCAUGUCAAAAAAUCAAAUAGACAAACAUAUAACUUAUACAAAUUUCUAAAUUUUAAUAACUCGAAUUAAUUUUUUUUUUUUUUUGAGAAAUAUAGAGACUGACCGUUUACUAGGUCAGUUUUGGAGAGCCAUAGGUAAAGAGAUUAGAGAGUGAUGAUUGUUUCACAGGACAAAAGACGAUGACUUAAAAAGUCAACUCCAGUCUUCUCUCUUUUCGUUCCACCAAUAAUUUCAAUUCUCUAUUUCUCUUUUAAUCUCAUCUUCUUCUUCAAUCCAGUCUUCACAUCGACCACACAUGUUUCUUCAUCCAUUGACCUCAAAUACUUGACUUUCCCUCUUUCUCCUUCUCUGCAUCAAAGCUAUGGAGAAUUUCUGUUUUCAAAACUCUGUUUCUCUCUUUGUAUCGAUUAUGGUUCUUGUUCUUCUUCCUCGUCUCACUCUUUCUGCUACUUCGACGUACACUCGUCCUGAGAAGUUUUACGUCAACUGUGGAUCGGAUUCUAAUGUCUUUUAUGGUGGUCAGACCUUCGUUGGAGAUAAGAACUUCAGUGGUAACUCUGUUUCCUUCACCAAUAGAACUGAAGUCAUCGACAACCAAUCGUCCGUUGUGCCUGAAAUCUACCGGACGGUUAGGAUAUUCAGACGCCCUUCUUCUUACGAGUUCAAACUUGAUUCUCUUGGUCUGCACUUUGUGCGUCUCCAUUUCUCUGUUGUGUUUUCUCGGGCAGAUCUUUUAACUGCUCGGUUCACUGUCUCUGCAAUUUCUGGUUCUAAUCAUCACUUGAAAAGUUUCCCGCUUCAGAAUUUCACUGAGACCCCAAGAGUUGAAGAGUUUCUCCUGAUGAUGGACUCGCUGGAGUUCGAAAUUCGAUUAGUGCCGGAUCAUUCCUCUUUGGCUUUCGUCAACGCCAUUGAAGUGUUCCCUGCUCCUAAUGACCUCGAAAUUCAGCCAGAUUUCGACAAGAAUCUGCAUAUGAUUUACAGAUUAAACGUAGGAGGUGAGAAAAUCACACCGGAUAAUGAUACCUUGGGACGAACUUGGUCGCCUGAUGAUGAAGACUUUCUCUACCGAAAAGAUUCUGCGAGGAACAUUAAUUCAACACAAACGCCUAACUACAAUACAGCAGGGUCACUGUCAGCCACGGAAUUCACUGCUCCUGCUUUCGUCUACAAGACAGCUAAAGCAAUGAACCGCAGCUCGAAUGAGCGGGUGGGGAUGUUGACGAAUGUUACAUGGUCGUUCAAGGUCAAAAGUAACUAUAGACACUUCAUCAGGAUUCAUUUCUCUGAUAUUUUAAGUAACUUCUCAAACUCCGACUCCGAUUUCUAUCUCUAUGUAAAUGGGUACUGGCGAGUAGAUGUAAAGCCUUCAGAGCAGCCUAAGUUGGCAACUCCGUUUUUUAUCGAUGUCGUGAAUGUCUCUGAUGGUUCUGGACUCUUGAAUAUUAGUAUAGGUACUAAGGAGGCCGAUAAAGAUGCUGGUUUUCUGAAUGGUCUGGAGAUGAUGGAGUUUUUGAUUAAAUCUGGUUCUGAUUCUUCAAAUAGAAGCAGUUCCCGGGUUCAUAUCAUCGCUGGUUGUGUUUCUGCUGCUGCAUCGGCUCUGGUCUUGAGUUUGUUGUUUAUGGUAUUCUUGAAGCGGAGGAGAUCGAAGAAGACUAAGCCAGACGUUGAAGGCACUGUAUGGUCUCCUUUGCCAUUGCACAGAGGUGGAAGUUCAGACAAUAGACCUAUCUCACAAUACCACAACUCGCCAUUACGCAACCUACACUUAGGCUUAACGAUUCCCUUCACAGACAUUCUGAGCGCUACAAACAAUUUCGACGAGGAGUUGUUGAUCGGGAAAGGCGGGUUCGGAGAUGUUUACAAAGCUAUUCUUCCUGAUGGAACCAAAGCCGCUAUCAAAAGAGGCAAAACCGGCUCAGGACAAGGCAUCUUAGAGUUUCAAACCGAGAUUCAAGUCCUCUCAAGAAUCCGGCACAAACACCUCGUCUCUCUAACGGGCUACUGCGAAGAAAACUCGGAAAUGAUCCUCGUCUACGAGUUUAUGGAGAAAGGUACACUUAAAGAACAUCUAUACGGCUCGAAUCUACCUCCCUUGUCAUGGAAACAAAGACUAGAGAUCUGCAUUGGAGCAGCUAGAGGUUUACAUUAUCUCCACAGUUGCGCAGAAGGAGUAAUCAUACACAGAGACGUCAAAUCCACAAACAUACUACUAGACGAGAACACUAUAGCCAAAGUCGCCGAUUUCGGACUCUCGAAACUCACGAUUCGUAAUCAAGAUCCAACUAAUAUCAGCCUAAACAUCAAAGGAACAUUCGGUUACUUAGAUCCAGAGUAUCUCCAAACACAUAUCUUAACAGAGAAAUCUGACGUUUACGCAUUCGGAGUCGUCCUCCUCGAGGUUUUGUUAGCGAGACCAGCUCUAGAUUGUACUCUACGUUACGAAGAAGCGAAUCUAGCGGAAUGGGCGUUGUUCUGCAAAUCAGAAGGUAAAAUCGAUGAGAUCUUAGAUCCGAGUUUGAUAGGUCAAAUUGAGACGAAUUCUUUGAAGAAAUUCAUGGAGAUUGCUGAGAAAUGUUUGAAAGAGUGUGGAGAUGAGAGACCGAGUAUGGGAGAUGUGAUUUGGGAUCUUGAGUAUGUUCUUCAGCUUCAGAUGAUGACGAUUCGUAGAGAAGCUCAUGAAGAAGAUAGUACGGCGAUUGUCUCCUCUGGUGGUUCGUUGGUGGCUCCGAGGUUGAUGGUGAGUGAUUCGUUUAGCACGAACUCGUUUGUUCAGAAGGAUGAUGAAUCGAAGAACAGAUUUGGAUUUACGGAUUCGUCGGAGACUCGAGUUUUUUCGCAGUUGAAGAUCUCUGACGCAAGAUGAUAAAAUCAUUUUCAAUUGUGUGUAAAAUUAUAAAUUUCUUGAAAUGUGUCUCUGGUUCAAUUUCAAAAUUUAAAAGCCGGUUAUUUCCGGUUUAUAGAUAAUCGGAAAUAUGGAGAAUUGGAGACGUUUUCCAAGUUCACCAAAUAUUACAUUUUGGAUGUAAACAUUAUUCCGACUUGGUUGGGAUAAACUGACGAAACUUGAAAUUUAAAACUGUGGCUAUAACUUUGUCAUUUAAAAAAAAAAGAAGAUAGAAAUACAUGACAAUAUAACUAUACAUAUUAAGUAUCAUCCAAAAAAAAAAAAACAUCAUCCAUCAAAAAUUUAUAAAUUAGCGAUUUAAAUAUACUUGGAUCAUAAAAAAAUAUAAUUCGAUAAGACUAAUCAAAUUUGAAUACCAUAAAGUCAUUAAACGAAUCAUGUAACAAUAAUUCGACAAAAUGAAAAUAUAUCACGUAAAAGAAUAAUCACAUGUAUCGGGAAAAAUAAAAAUAAAAAAUCAAUCAAACUAAUAUAUAUGUCAAACCGUGUAAUAUGGACUUUGGGACACCUUGAGUAAAUAUUAGAGAGUGAUGUUUCUUCCUUAUUAUUCAAACCAAUAAUUUCAAUUCUCUAUUUUUCCUUCAAUCUCCUCUUCUUCCAUCCUCUUCACAUAAACCACAAAUGUUUCUUAAUCAAUUGACCUCAAAUACUUGACUUUCAUUAUUUACUCCUCUCUCUCCCGUCUAAGCUAUGGAGAAUCUCUGUUUUUUGAACGUUGUUUCUCUCUUUGUGAUGAUGGUGGUUAUUGUUCUUCUUCCUCAGCUCACUCUUUCUGCAUCAUCUACAUAUCCUCGUCCCGAGAAGUUUUAUGUCAACUGUGAGUCGCGGUCUAAUGUCACAUAUGGUGGUCGGACUUUCGUUGGAGAUAUGACCUUGGGUGGUAACUACGUUUUCUUCACCAGUGAAGGAACUGAAGCCAUCAACCAAUUUGUUUUGUGUUGCUCAAUUUCCAUAACUUAGCUGAAUUCUUGUACUCAAAGAUCUUGUAUAGCUGGCUAUGCUACUUGGGAUGGCGGAUCCGAAUUUAUUUUAUGAAUGUUGAUAUAUUACACGUGUUUAAUUGCAUGGGACGUGAACAUAUCUUUAGUGACGGGUGGGAUAAACUCCAUGACAACACCAAAACUUGAUCUCUCGCUUUCGUCAUUGAACAUCUUUUUUUCAUCAUCAUGCUCCACGUGAACUCUCGCUUACGUUAUAAACUAAGCUAUAACUUCUAACAACCAUGCAUGUUUCAGUUCAACACAUUUACAAGUUCUUAGAUCUAAUGGAGACUCAUUUCCUAAUUUUAUCUCUCAUCUUCUUUGUUUUCAUUUCUCUUAAACUUUUGUUUGGUAAACGGCAUAGCAAGUUUAACCUACCACCAAGUCCGGCUUGGCCCUUGCCGUUGAUUGGACACCUUCACCUCCUGAAGCUCCCGCUUCACCGCACAUUCCUCUCUUUCUCUCAAUCCUUAGGUGACGCCCCAAUUUUCUCCCUCCGCCUCGGAAACCGUCUCACGGUUGUCGUCUCAUCCUACUCCAUCGCUGAAGAAUGCUUUACAAAAAACGACAUUGUUUUCGCCAAUAGGCCAGAGUUGAUUCUCGGGAAACAUAUUGAGUACAACUCCACCACUAUGACUAGUGCGCCUUACGGUGACCACUGGCGAAACUUGCGCCGUAUCGCCACCUUGGAGAUCUUCGCGUCACAUAAGCUUAACGGCUUCUUAUAUGUCCGUAAGGAUGAGAUCCGACACUUGUUACUACGUCUCUCCAAAAACUCGCGACAUGUAUGUGAGCUUCUACAUAUCUUAAAAUUUAUCUAAAUAUAUAUAACCUAGUCAUUUGUAGUAGUGUUGCCACUCUAUCAUUACACGGGUCUAAACCCGGCAAUAUGGUAAAAAAACUCACAAUGGAAAAAAAAUAUGUUUAUACAUAGUCUUAACCAAAAAAAAAGAUUGAGAAGUAUGAAAAUGAAAAAUUUGAGAAUAAUUCAUUUUUAAAAUCUUAUUAUAAAAUCAGGAGUUUGCGAAAGUGGAGAUGAGACAUUUGCUUUUUGAGUUGACUAUCAACAACGUUUUUAGAAUGGUAGCGGGGAAACGAUUUUAUGGUGAGGGCACAGAGCAAGACGAAGUUGCGCAGCAAGUGAGACAGCUGAUGGACGAGAUUGUAACCAGCGCUGGCGCCGGGAAUGCAGCCGACUAUUUACCAAUCAUGCGUUGGAUCACAGAUUUUGAGAAACGCGUCAAGAAGUUAGCGAUUCGGAUCGAUAAGUUUUUGCAGAGUCUAGUGGAUGAGAAACGUGCUGAUAAAGAAAAGGGUACCACAAUGAUAGAUCACUUGCUUUCUCUCCAAGCAACUCAGCCUGAUUAUUAUACAGAUGUCAUUCUUAAAGGACUCAUAGUUGUAAGUAUUGCGUAAUCCAUAUACUAUCUUUAAGAACACUAAUCUAACAUUAUGAUGGUUGAUCAAUUUUGAAUUUACAGGUUAUGAUAAUUGCUGGAUCUGAAACAAUUGCAUGGACUUUAGAAUGGGCGAUGUUGAAUUUGUUGAACCAUCCAGAAGUGUUAAAGAAAGCUAGGACCGAAAUCGAUACGAAAAUCGGUUUUGACCGGUUGAUUGAUGAAGCGGAUACUAAAAAUCUCCCUUAUCUCCAAUGGAUAGUGUUGGAGACCCUACGUCUUCACCCGGCAGCUCCAACAAAUGUUCCACAUAUGACGUCAGAGGAUUGCAUGUUGGCAGGAUACGACAUUCCACGUGGAUCGAUGUUAUUGGUGAACAUAUGGGCCAUGCAUAGAGACCCGUCUAUAUGGGAAGACCCAGAAAUGUUCAAGCCAGAGAGGUUCAAAAAUGAAAAGCUUAAUCAUAAGUUGUUGUCGUUUGGGAUUGGACGACGAGCCUGUCCCGGGAAUGGCCUAGCUCAUCGGGUAGUGAGCUUGGCUCUUGGAUCGAUGGUUCAGUGUUUCGAAUGGCAGAGAAUUGGAGAAGAAUAUGUUGACAAUAAAGAAGAUGAAACUGUUGUCUUGAUGCGUCCUGUGACACCGUUGUUAGCCAUGUGUAAAGCUCGUCCCAUUGUCCAUAAGAUUCGUGAUGCUUUUGAUUGAAGUGUAACUCGCCUUUCUCUGUCUUUUGUGAAAGUUACUAAAAAAACAUGUAACAUUGUAUUCACAUAAUAAUAAUCAGAAGGUAUAAAUUGAACACAGAUGAUUAGGUAAGACAUGAAAUAGCCAACUUUCCACAAAUGAAACAUCCGCAAAUGUACAUCUGUACGCGAAAUAAAAUGUACAUCUGUACGCGAAAUAAAAUGUACGAAUCACAUUAUGUAGGGUCCAUAAUGUCUUCAAAACAGUGGAGACACUAAAAAUGAGGGAUUUUGCCAAUUAUAAAUAUUAAAUAGUAAACUAUCUAGUUUUCUAAUUACGUUUGGAAAAUUGCCUAUUUCUCAAUUUAUUAUUUUAAAAAAACCCUAGUAAAAUACAUAACAAUUGGACAGUUCAUAAUGUUGAUUUAUUACACAUGUUUCUUUGUAACUAAUUGCAUGAGACGUUACAAAACAUAUCUUUAGUGACAUACUAUAGGAAAAUUGAGUAUCCUUAGCGGCCGAAUAACGCUAUCUAACGAGACGAUAGUGGAGUAGAAAGCGCUAUAUCUACGUCCAUGAUAAUAGAUCGACAGCUUCCGAUAGCAGUUUCUGGUAAUGCUAUAUUUUGUUUACAUAUUAUAGCGUGUUUUCUUAUGCAAUGUAAUAUUAUAGUAGCGAAUAUAUUUUGUUAUUAAUUAUCAAAUUGCAGCAUUUGUUAUAUGUAAUUUAAUCAAUUAGAAUAGCAUUUAUAAUACGUAAUUUAUUCAAUUAAAAUAGCAUUUGUGUUAUGCAAUAUAUUGUGGUUUUGUUUUUGUUUUUUUUUGCACUAUACAUAAUUUUUAAUCACUACAAGAAAACACGUCAUUAGCGACGUUAUUCAGCGACUGAUAAAUUAGUCGCUGAAUUUGAGGACUGAAUUGCUACAUUUAGGCGACUGAAUGUUGCCUAAACAACAUUAGUCGCUAAUCCGUCUGCAUUUGGCGACGGAUAACAAUAGUCGUUGUAUAGUCGCCAAAUUAGGCGACUAAGUAGCUUCUAAAUAUUUAGUCUAUAAACUGGGCUACUAAUUAGCCACUUUAUAGCGACUAUAAUUUCUAAUUGGGCCUUUUAAUUGGUCUCGGUCCAUUAGAUUUACUGCGUUGGCCCAUAGUAUAAAUUCCCUAUUUCUAACCGAGGAAACCCUAAUUCCGCAUUUCUCUAACCCUAGAUCCCUAAUUCUCUCUAUCUCGACGAACCCUAACCCUAACCCUGCAAUUUCUCUCCAAUUCUCUACAAAUCUACUUCUUUUAGGUCUAAUCGAUGGCUCCUCGUGUUCGCGGUGGAAGAGGAAGCGGAAGAGGGAAGAGGGGACCGAAGUCUCCGGUGAAGCGACCCACUGUCGUCCCUACUCGACCCACAUCUUCUGGUGUAUCGAGUCGAAGACCAAGGAGCCUUCCGUCGCAGUAUGAGUUCACGCCGGCGAACCCUGAAGAUCCAAAUCAUGGGACUGAGCAUCCGCCGAAUCGUCAGCCUUCACCGCAACUGAGUCUAAGAGACUAUCCACCUCCGCUGCAGCUUUUCCAGUCGGGCGAAGGAUCUCAGCAUGCAGCUGGUGGAUCUCCUCGGGGCUCUAGAACGACUCCGUUUCGAGCAUCUGUCUCCUCUGUUCAUCGUUUAGCAUCUGGAUCUCCCCGUGCCUCUCAGUCUCCAGCUCCAGUUCAGCCUCCAGCGCCGGUUCCUUCUCCAGUGGUUAAUCAACAACGACCACCAAGAGCCUCUCUGUCUGGUCACAGUUCUCAAGCUCAGAACGUUGAAGAAGAAGAAGCUGCAUUGAAUGAAGAAGCUGAUGAUGAAACUACAUCGGAGGAUGAAGGUUUGAGGGAUUCAACACUCCCAGAAGAUGUCCUCGCGACUUUACAUGAUACGCUUGUCAUCCCAGGCCGUGAGCUCUAUACUACUCUCAUCUCUCCGACUUUAGAGCCUGGGACGACAUGGUAAGGAUUCUGAAUGUUUAUAGGAUUGUUUGUAUAGAAUUGUGUAUAGGAUUGUCUAGAAUUGUGUAUAGGAUUAGGUAUGGUUUAGGUCUGUUUGUGUUAAGGUAUGGUUUGUGUAUAGGUUUAGGUAUGGUUUAGGUCUGUUUGUGUAUAGGUUCUGGUUCUUGUUUAGGGUUUAGGUAUGGUUCUGGUUCUUGUUUAGGGUUUAGGUAUGGUUCUGUUUAGGUAUAGUUUGUGAAGAGGUUUAGGUCUGUUUGUAUUCUUGUGUAUAGAUUGUAAGUUUGUUUAGGUAUAGUUUGUAUUCUUGUGUUGUAUUGUUCUGUUUGUAUUCUUGUGUAUAGAUUGUAAGUUUGUUUAUUUGAUUGUAGGUUUGGUAAGGAUAAGGGUAAGCUAACCCGGAAGGUCACCAAGUGUUUUACUAACAAGUUUGAUGGACCAUACUACAAUUGGAGUUGUGUGCCAACUGGAAGAAGAGAAAGAUACUUUCUUGAAUUCGCUGUAAGCUUCUAUCCCUCUUCUACUACUGUAUUUUCAUAUUGUAUUUUGAUAACUAACAUCUGCUUCACUGUCCUCUUGUUUUGGUAGAAAACACACACCUGGCAUCCCUCAGUUACAGGUGUGGUUGAAGCCAAGUUCUACAAGAUCAUUGCACUGCGUAUGAAAGACAUGGUUAGUAAGGCAGGGUCAAAAAGCCCAAGAGUGAGGCCGUAUUGGAUUGAGAAAACUCUGUGGAGAGAGAUGUGUAAGUUUUGGGAUACUGAAGAAGCCCAAGCCAAGAGUUCAACCACAUCAGCAGCUAGGAUGUCUGACCGUAAUGGUCUUGGUCCUCACAAGCAUGUUUCUGGUCCAAAGUCCUUUUACAAGUGGAGCAAGAGAUGGUAAGUUACAUGUCUGUUUUAAAUACUUGUUUUGUUUAUUACUUGCUGACAUCUCUGUUACUAUAUUUCAGGAAGUUAAAUUGGGAAGACCUCCUACUAUUGGAGAAGUGUUCAUCAGAACUCAUACCAAGAAGGAUGGGACAUUUGUGGAUAGGAAGGCGCAGGAAAUCCAUGAGGCAUAUCUCAAGAACAAGGCAGCUAAGUUGGCUGCCCUGCAAGAGAAUGAUGAACAAGAUGAUGGUAAUUCGCGUCAGUCUGAGCUGUCUCAGGAGGAGGAUGAUGAGAUAUUUCUUCAGGUAGUAGUCUUGUCUUUUGCUCUGUAGUCUACUUUUAUCUGUUAAGCACUAAUGUUUUUACUUUGUUUUGCAGUCUACUGUCACAAAUGAUAGAGGGGAUUACUUUGGAAUUGGCAGCUUAGGGGUUUACAUCAACGGGAAGCGCAAGUACGCAGGAAGCAGUUCUUCUUUCAUAACCCUGCAGUCACAGCUUGAGGAUGCUAACCGCAAGAUAGAGGAACAAGCAGCUCUACAAGCAGCACGUGAAGCAGAGGCAUUGCGGGUCGCAGCAUCACAAGCAGCUGAGAUCAAGCAUUUGUCGAUGGUGAAGAAGUACCUGAGUGAAACUGACCCUAAUUUCCUGGCCUUCCUCAAUUCCCAAUCAACUCCUGCUGCGGAUGAUCAUUCAGAGGUCCAACCAAAUCCAACUCCUGCUGCUAAUGUUGAUGGUACUACUCCUGCUACUUAGCUUUCUCUCCUCUUAACUCAAAAACUUGAACUUGAUCUUUUGGUCUUGUACUUAUGGUACAAGUAUGUUUGUAUUUAUGUCUUGUGAACUUGAUAUUUUGGACUUGUACUUUUGGUCUUGUGAACUUGUAUGUUUUUAUGUUUAUUAAGAACUUGUAUGUUUUGGUCUUGUGAACUUGUAUGUUUUGUAUGUUUGGUUUUAAUUAGUAAAUGCAAACGUAAUUGGAAUCAAAAUAAGCAGGCAAAAUCCAAAAAUAAACCUCCAAUAAGUCGCAAAACGAUAGCCAUUCAGUCACUAAAACAUUCAUAAAACAGUCGCCUUGUAGUGUCUUUUUGGCGAUUCCACAGUCACCUACUAGUCGCCAAACCAGUCGCCAAAUAGUGACAUAUUAGUAGCAGAACCGUCGCCACUUUAGCGACUCAUACGCGACGCACAGGCGACUUCAAAUAGUUGUCGCAGAAUAGUCGCUAUUUAGCGACUAUUAGGCUACAAUUUAUUUUAGCGACGCAGUGUUCGGCGAUAACGUUUAUUAGUCGCUAAUUAGUGGUUAUUAUGUGUUUAGCGACUCUUUAGUUACGUUUCUUGUAGUCGCUAAAUCCAUGUUUUCUUGUAGUGAAUCCGGUUUAAAUUAAUAAAAAAUAAUACAAUUAAAUAAGAACUCUUUGACUACAUUAGUUUCAAAACCAAACCGAAAUAACUUUAUUUGUAGUGGUUGGUGGAAUAAUGAUUCCCAUGAUAACAAAAAAAUUUGAACAUCUUUUUUUCAUUAUAAUGCUCCACGUAAAGUCUCGCUUACGUUAUUAACUAAGCUAUAACUUCUAAGCCCCAUGCAUGUUUCAAUUCAACACGUAUUUAAUUGCAUGUGACUUGAACAUAACUUUAGCGACGGGUGGGAUAAUUCCAUGACAACACCAAAAUUUGAACAUUUUUUUUGCUCCAUGUGAACUCAGUUACGCUAUAAACUAAGCUAUAACUUCUAACCACCAUGCAUGUUUCAGUUCAACACAUUACGAGUUCUAAGAUCUAAUGGAGACCCAUUUCCUAAUUCUAUCUCUCGUCUUCUUCGUUUGCAUUUCUCUUACACUUUUUUUUGGUAAACGGCAAAGCAAGUUUAACCUACCACCAAGUCCGGCUAGGCCCCUGCCGUUGAUUGGACACCUUCACCUCCUGAAGAUGCCGCUUCACCGCACAUUCCUCUCUUUCUCUCAAUCCCUAGGUGACGCUCCAAUUUUCUGCCUCCGCCUCGGAAACCGUCUCAUGGUUAUUGUCUCUUCCUACUCCAUCGCUGAAGAAUGCUUUACAAAAAACGACAUUGUUUUAGCCAAUAGGCCAGAGUUCAUUGUCGGGAAACAUAUUGAGUACAACUCCACCACUAUGACAAGUGCGCCUUAUGGUGACCACUGGCGAAACCUGCGCCGCAUCUGCACCCUGGAGAUCUUUUCGUCACACAGGCUCAAUGGCUUUUUAUCUGUCCGUAAGGAUGAGAUCCGACACUUGUUACUACGUCUCUCCAAAAACUCGCGACAUGUAUGUGAGCUUCUACAUAUCUUAACAAUAUAUCCAAAUAAGCUGAUAACAGGCUAGUGAUUUGUAGUAGUGUUCCCUUUAUCAUUACAUGGGUAUUAAACAAACUCAGAAACGAAAAAAAAUGUUUAUACAUAGUCUUAACUAGGGUGGGCAUUCGGGUUCGGGUUUGGAUUUCGGGUUAAUCAAGUUUUGGGUUUUCGGUUAGGAGUGUUUAUUAUCCGUUCAGAUCGGAUUAAUUGGGUUCAGUUUGGUUCGGGUUGGUAUCGUUGGGUUCAGUUCGGUUUCUUGGAAAAAAAACUAAAAAAAGUGGUUCAAUUUUAAUAAAAUUUGGUUAAUUUUUACAAAAGACUUGGAUGAUUUUGAAAAAUAUAACUAUUUUUUUGGAUAUUUAGGUUAAUUUGGAUAUUUUUUUUUGUUAUUCACACAUUUUUGGGUAUAUAAUUAUAACUAAGUAUAAUUAAUAUUUUUGAAUAUAUAUAUUCGGGUAUACUGUUUGGUUUCCCAAACCGGUUCUCAAUUCGGAUUCUGUUUGGGUAAUUUAGCUAGGAGAGUUUAUAUCAUCCAUUCCGGUGUGACUAUUCGGUUCGGUUCCAGUUCUCGGGAAUCCCUAAUCCUAACUAAAAAAGAUUAAGAAGUAUGAAAAUGAAAACUUGAGAGUUGAUAAUUUGUUUUGUGACUAUAAUCAGG
rnacentral:lncRNA from 1 species